UCCAGUCGGUGGAAGAGACACAGA
rnacentral:piRNA from 1 species